AGUUCGGAUUGAAGGCUGAAAUUCGCCUUCAUGAAGCCGGAAUUGCUAGUAAUGGCAGGUCAGCAUACUGCCGUGAAUACGUUCCCGGGCCUUGUACACACCGCCCGUCACACCAUGGGAGUUGGGAAUGCCCGAAGUCAGUGACCCAACCGCAAGGAGGGAGCUGCCGAAGGCAGGCUUGAUAACUGGGGUGAAGUCGUAACAAGGUAUC
rnacentral:rRNA from 1 species